GACGAACGCUGGCGGCGUGCUUAACACAUGCAAGUCGAACGGAAAGGCCCCUUUGGGGGUACUCGAGUGGCGAACGGGUGCGUAACACGUGAGUAACCUGCCCUUGACUUCGGGAUAACUUCAGGAAACUGGGGCUAAUACCGGAUAGGAAUCCUUGCUGCAUGGUGGGGGUUGGAAAGCUUCGGCGGUUUUGGAUGGACUCGCGGCUUAUCAGCUUGUUGGUGGGGUAGUGGCUUACCAAGGCUUUGACGGGUAGCCGGCCUGAGGGGGCGACCGGCCACAUUGGGACUGAGGUACGGCCCAGACUCCGACGGGAGGCAGCAGUGGGGAAUAUUGCACGAUGGGCGGAAGCCUGAUGCAGCAACGCCGCGUGCGGUAUGACGGCCUUCGGGUUGUAAACCGCUUUCAGCAGGGGCGAAGCUUGUGGUGACGGUACCUGCAGAAGAAGCACCGGCUAACUACGUG
rnacentral:rRNA from 1 species